rnacentral:lncRNA from 10 species
GGGUCCACCAGCAGGAAGAAACCCCAAGAGGAAGAAACCUCAGACAGAUCGCCGGCGAGGCAGCGCGGGAUCCCAGCCUCAGGCGUGCGCGGACGGUGUGCGGCGCACACAACCAAGCUUAGGAGCCGACUGUUAAGAUGCCCCAGUGACACGGACAAGUUUCUCCUCUGCAACCCAAUGAGAGCUGCUGACCACGAGAGCAUCGCGGGACCGCCAAAGGAUUCUGGAAAAUGUGGUCCCGGGUGGCCAGUGUGCGCUGACCUUCACCUGAAGGUACGGCUUGAAGGAAACUUCUGGAGGGUGGGGUGGUGUUGAAGAGAAGGCACAAUUGUCACCAUUUUGUUCAACAUGGGCGUUUUCUUUGUGCAUUGAUUUGCAUUUUUAAAGGUAUUCCAUUAAAAAUAUGUUUAUCUAUUUUAA